rnacentral:lncRNA from 1 species
CCCUUCCAAACCUUACAUCACAAGCAUUCAUUGAGGUUUUAAAGAUAAAUUACACUUAUAUAUAUUAUGUAUAAUUAUCUUUAAAAAUACAAAUUAUAUUUGACAUUUAUAACCCAAAAAAAAGAAGAAGAAGAGUAAAACUGUCAGUCAGUUUAUCUGAUAAGUUGAAGAUAAUAGCCAGAUCAAUUAACGAAUCGGACAUGAAAUGAUAAAGAUCAGCAAUAGUAUAAUGAAAAAUGAAAUGAAAUAAACAAACAUGUGAACCUCCGAUAUAGACGUUGAGAUGAUCUAUUUCACCUCCACCACCACCACCAUCAUCAUCAUCAUCAUCCCAC